rnacentral:rRNA from 1 species
GUAGGGGUGCAAGCGUUAUCCGGAAUCAUUGGGCGUAAAGAGCUCGUAGGCGGUUCAGCAAGUCGGGCUGUGAAAUCCCGAGGCUUAACCUCGGAACUGCAGUCGAUACUGCCGUGACUAGAGUCCGGUAGAGGAGAAUGGAAUUCCCGGUGUAGCGGUGAAAUGCGCAGAUAUCGGGAGGAACACCAGUAGCGAAGGCGGUUCUCUGGGCCGGUACUGACGCUGAGGAGCGAAAGCGUGGGUAGCAAACAGGAUUAGAUACCCUGGUAGUCCACGCCGUAAACGUUGGACACUAGGUGUGGCGUUCCGACCAACGGGUGCCGUGCCGAAGCUAACGCAUUAAGUGUCCCGCCUGGGGAGUACGGCCGCAAGGCUA